UUCCGGUUGAUCCUGCCGGACCCCACUGCUAUCGGGAUAGGACUAAGACAUGCUAGUCAAGCGCUCACCAGCCAAAGGUGAGUGCGGCGCACAGCUCAGUAACACGUGGCUAACCUGCCCUUGGGACGGGGACACCCCCGGGAAACUGGGAUUAAUCCCCGAUAGGCAGAGACCUCUGGAAUGAAUCUCCGCCCAAAAGGCGCUUGCGCUAUGCUCGCAGGUGUCGCCCAAGGAUGGGGCCGCGACCGAUCAGGUUGUUGGUGAGGUAAUGGCUCACCAAGCCUUUUACCGGUGCGGGCCGUGGGAGCGGGAGCCCGGAGAUGGGCACUGAGACAAGGGCCCAGGCCCUACGGGGCGCAGCAGUCGCGAAAACUUUGCAAUACACGAAAGUGUGACAGGGCUAUCCCGAGUGCCAUCCGCUGAGGAAGGCUUUUACCCAGUUUAGAACGCUGGGAGAAUAAGGAGAGGGCAAGACUGGUGUCAGCCGCCGCGGUAAUACCAGCUCUCCGAGUGGUGUGGAUGUUUAUUGGGCCUAAAGCAUCCGUAGCUGGCUGGACAAGUCCCCUGUUAAAUCCACCGAUUUAAUCGUUGGAAUGCGGGGGAUACUGCUCGGCUAGGGGACGGGAGAGGCAGACGGUACUUCCGGGGUAGGGGUGAAAUCCUAUAAUCCCGGGAAGACCACCAGUGGCGAAGGCUGUCUGCUAGAACGUGCCCGACGGUGAGGGAUGAAAGCUGGGGGAGCGAACCGGAUUAGAUACCCGGGUAGUCCCAGCCGUAAACGAUGCAGGCUAGGUGUUUGGGCGGCCACGUGCCGCUCUAGUGCCGCAGGGAAGCCGUUAAGCCUGCCGCCCGGGGAGUACGGCCGCAAGGCUGAAACUUAAAGGAAUUGGCGGGGGAGCACCACAAGGGGUGAAGCUUGCGGUUUAAUUGGAGUCAACGCCGGA
rnacentral:rRNA from 1 species